GCGAGCCUGAUGCAGCGACGCCGCGUGAGGGAUGACGGCCUUCGGGUUGUAAACCUCUUUCAGUAGGGAAGAAGCGAAAGUGACGGUACCUGCAGAAGAAGCACCGGCUAACUACGUGCCAGCAGCCGCGGUAAUACGUAGGGUGCGAGCGUUAUCCGGAAUUAUUGGGCGUAAAGAGCUCGUAGGCGGUUUGUCGCGUCUGUCGUGAAAGUCCGGGGCUUAACCCCGGAUCUGCGGUGGGUACGGGCAGACUAGAGUGCAGUAGGGGAGACUGGAAUUCCUGGUGUAGCGGUGGAAUGCGCAGAUAUCAGGAGGAACACCGAUGGCGAAGGCAGGUCUCUGGGCUGUAACUGACGCUGAGGAGCGAAAGCAUGGGGAGCGAACAGGAUUAGAUACCCUGGUAGUCCAUGCCGUAAACGUUGGGCACUAGGUGUGGGGACCAUUCCACGGUUUCCGCGCCGCAGCUAACGCAUUAAGUGCCCCGCCUGGGGAGUACGGCCGCAAGGCUAAAACUCAAAUG
rnacentral:rRNA from 1 species